GACUCCUCCAAAGGUGGUGAGUUAUGUCAAUUGAGUAUUCAUGGUCAGUUACAGAUGAAACCCCUUGUUGUUCUUUUUCUCCCCCCUCACUACUACACUUAACUAGUCUUAA
ensembl:misc_RNA Y_RNA Y RNA